AUGAGAUCAGUGACAGGAAUAACUAUUCUCCUAACUUUGGGUAUUAUGAGUGAUGCUAAGUCCACACAGCCAGGUGCAAUGGAGAGUACUGCAGGAGAAGCUGUGCACCUGCCCUGUGACCACUCCACAAUCAGUGGAAAUGAGUACAUACAUUGGUAUCGACAGAUUCCCCACCAGGGUCCAGAGUAUGUGAUUCAUGGCUUAAAAGACAACGUGACCAAAGGAACGUACUCUCUGAUCAUCGCAACAGACAGAAAGUCCAGUACCUUGAUCCUGCCCCAGGUUAGCCUGAGAGACUCGGGUGUGUACUACUGCAUCCUGAGAGACGCACAGUGGCACGCGUGGGGCUGCACCUGUGCAAUAUCUUUCUGGCGGAAGGAAAGCAGCAGCAGCAGCAGAAGCAGCAUCUAA